AUGGAUUGAGGACGGAACAGGCAGCCGUCGCCCUAGUUGGAGAUGUGGGAGUGUCGCCCCACCAUUUCAU
rnacentral:ncRNA from 1 species